rnacentral:rRNA from 1 species
GACGAACCGUCCUAACGUUGUUCGGAAUCACUGGGCUUAAAGGGCGCGUAGGCGGGUUCCCAAGUCGGUGGUGAAAUCUUUCGGCCCAACCGGAAAACAGCCGCCGAUACUGGGAGUCUUGAGGGAGGUAGGGGUCGAUGGAACUUCCGGUGGAGCGGUGAAAUGCGUAGAUAUCGGAAGGAACGCCGGUGGCGAAAGCGAUCGACUGGACCUUUUCUGACGCUGAGGCGCGAAAAGCCAGGGGAGCAAACGGG